UACCAGCACCCCGAGUGGUCGGGACGUUUAUUGGGCCUAGAGCAUCCGUAGCCGGUUCUACAAGUCUUCCGUUAAAUCCAGCUGCUUAACAGAUGGGCUGCGGAAGAUACUAUGGAGCUAGGAGGCGGGAGAGGCAAGCGGUACUCGAUGGGUAGGGGUAAAAUCCGUUGAUCCAUUGAAGACCACCAGUGGCGAAGGCGGCUUGCCAGAACGCGCUCGACGGUGAGGGAUGAAAGCUGGGGGAGCAAACCGG
rnacentral:rRNA from 1 species